GUGUUCGCUUCAGCUUCACAUAUACUAAAAGAAUGAAUAAUAUAGAGGAGAUUAGCAUGGCCCCUCCAAGAGGAUGACACAAAAAUUCAUGAAGCAUUCCAUUUAAUA
ensembl:snRNA U6 U6 spliceosomal RNA